GCGGUGGAGCAUGUGGUUAAUUCGAUGCAACGCGAAGAACCUUACCUGGUCUUGACAUCCCGGAGACCCUUAGGAAACUAGGGGUGCUUCCAUCUGGAAGAAUCUGGAGACAGGUGCUGCAUGGCUGUCGUCAGCUCGUGUCGUGAGAUGUUGGGUUAAGUCCCGCAACGAGCGCAACCCUUGCCUUUAGUUGCCAGCAGUUCGGCUGGGCACUCUAAAGGGACUGCCGGUGUUAAACCGGAGGAAGGUGGGGAUGACGUCAAGUCCUCAUGGCCUUUAUGACCAGGGCUACACACGUACUACAAUGGCCGAUACAAAGGGCAGCGACACUGCGAGGUGAAGCCAAUCCCGUAAAAUCGGUCUCAGUCCGGAUUGGAGUCUGCAACUCGACUCCAUGAAGUUGGAAUCGCUAGUAAUCGUGGAUCAGCAUGCCACGGUGAAUACGUUCCCGGGCCUU
rnacentral:rRNA from 1 species